rnacentral:rRNA from 1 species
GAUGAACGCUAGCGAUAGGCCUAACACAUGCAAGUCGAGGGGCAUCACAUGAAGUAGCAAUACGGAUGGUGGCGACCGGCGCACGGGUGAGUAACACGUAUGCAACCUGCCUUCAACAAGGGGAUAACCCGUUGAAAGACGGACUAAUACCCUAUAACACAGGGGUCCUGCAUGGGGAUAUUUGUUAAAGGACAACCGGUUGAAGAUGGGCAUGCGUUCCAUUAGCUAGUUGGCGGGGUAAGGGCCCACCAAGGCAACGAUGGAUAGGGGAACUGAGAGGUUUAUCCCCCACACUGGUACUGAGACACGGACCAGACUCCUACGGGAGGCAGCAGUGAGGAAUAUUGGUCAAUGGACGCAAGUCUGAACCAGCCACGUCGCGUGAAGGAAGACGGCCCUACGGGUUGUAAACUUCUUUUGCAAGGGAAUAAAGUGGGCCACGUGUGGCCUUUUGCAAGUACCUUGCGAAUAAGGAUCGGCUAACUCCGUGCCAGCAGCCGCGGU